rnacentral:rRNA from 1 species
GGUUUGAUUAUGGCUCAGAUUGAACGCCGGCGGGAUGCUUUACACAUGCAAGUCGAACGGCAGCACGGACUUCGGUCUGGUGGCGAGUGGCGAACGGGUAAUGUAUCGGAACGCUCGUAGUAGUUGGGGAUAACUACGCGAAAGCGUAGCUAAUACCGCAGCACGCCCUUCGGGGAAAGCGGGGGACCCUUUCGGGCCUCGCACUAUUAGAGCGGCCGAUAUCGGAUUAGCUAGUUGCGGGGUAACGGCUCACCAAGGCGAUGAUCCUGUGAGUUGGUUUGAGAGGACGACCAGCCACACUGGGACUGAGACACGGCCUGUAUUCCUACGGGGAGGCAGCAGUGGGGAAUUUUGGACAAUGGGGAAACCCCGAUCCAGCCAUCCCGCGUGUGCGAUGAAGGCCUUCGGUUGUAAAGCACUUUUGGCAGGGAAAAGAAACGGCACGGGAUAAUACCCCGUGCAACUGACGGUACCUGCAGAAUAAGACCGGCUAACUACGCCAGCAGCCGCGGUAAUACGUAGGGUACAAGCGUUAAUCGGAAUUACUGGGCGUAAAGCGUGCGCAGGCGGUUCGGAAAGAAAGAGCGAAAUCCCAGAGCUUAACUUUGAACCGCGCUUUUAACUACCGAGCUAGAGUGUCAGAGGGAGGUGGAAUUCGCGUGUAGCAGUGAAAUGCGUAGAUAUGCGGAGGAACACCGAUGGCGAAGGCAGCCUCCUGGGAUAACACUGACGCUCAUGCACGAAAGCGUGGGAGCAAACAGGAUUAGAUACCCUGUAGUCCACGCCUAAACGAUGUCAACUAGCUGUUGGGGCCUCGGCCCGUGGUAUGGCAGCUAACGCGUGAAGUUGACCGCCUGGGAGUAUACGGUCGCAAGAUUAAAACUCAAAGGAAUUGACGGGGACCCGCACAAGCGGUGGAUGAUGGGACGGAUCUGAUGCAAACGCGAAAACCUUACCUACCCUUGACAUGUCUGGAAUCCCGAAGAGAUUUGGGAGUGCCUGCAAGAGAACCGGAACACAGGUGCUGCAUGGCUGUCGUCAGCUCGUGUCGUGAGAUGCUGGGUUAAGUCCCGCAACGAGCGCAACCCUUGUCAUUAGUUGCUACGAAAGGGCACCUAAUGACUGCCGGUGACAAACCGGAGGAAGGUGGGGAUGACGUCAAGUCCUCAUGGCCCUUAUGGGUAGGGCUUUCACACGUCAUACAAUGGUCGGGACAGAGGGCUGCCAACCCGCGAGGGGGAGCCAAUCCCAGAAACCCGAUCGUAGUCCGAUCGCAGUCUGCAACUCGACUGCGUGAAGUCGGAAUCGCUAGUAAUCGCGGAUCAGCAUGUCGCGGAAUACGUUCCCGGGUCUUGUACACACCGCCCGUCACACCAUGGGAGUGGGUUUUACCAGAAGUAGUUAGCCUAACCGUAAGGAGGGCGAUUACCACGGUAGGAUUCAUGACUGGGGUGAAGUCGUAACACAGUAG